AACGAACGCUGGCGGCGUGCUUAACACAUGCAAGUCGAACGCGAAAGGGACUUCGGUCCUGAGUAAAGUGGCGCACGGGUGAGUAACGCGUAGAUAACCUGUCUUCGUGUCUGGAAUAAUACGCCGAAAGGUGUACUAAUACCGGAUAUUCUUGCUUUAUAUAAGUUUUGCAAGCAAAGGUGGCCUCUGCAUAUGCUACCGCAUGAAGAGGGGUCUGCGUACCAUUAGCUAGUAGGUGGGGUAAUGGCCUACCUAGGCGACGAUGGUUAGCGGGUCGUAGAGGAUGGUGCGCCACACUGGCACUGGAACACGGGCCAGACUCCUACGGGAGGCAGCAGUGAGGAAUAUUGCGCAAUGGGGGCAACCCUGACGCAGCGACGCCGCGUGAGUGAGGAAGGCCUUCGGGUCGUAAAGCUCUGUCAAGAGGAAAGAAGUGCAUAGCGGUUAAUACCCGUUAUGUUUGACGGUACCUCUAAAGGAAGCACCGGCUAACUCCGUGCCAGCCGCCGCCGUAA
rnacentral:rRNA from 1 species